AGCAGCCGUGGUAAUUCCAGCUCCAAUAGCGUAUAUUAAAGUUGUUGCAGUUAAAAAGCUCGUAGUUGAAUUUCGAGAUCAAAUUGUUGGUCGUGCCUUGGUACGCACUGGCAUUAUUGGUUUCUCCCUUCUGAAGAACCAAGAUGUCAUUAAUUUGGUGUCUUGGGGAAUCAGGACUGUUACUUUGAAAAAAUUAGAGUGUUUAAAGCAGGCUCGCGCUUGAAUACAUUAGCAUGGAAUAAUGAAAUAGGACGUUUGAUUCUAUUUUGUUGGUUUCUAGGAUCGACGUAAUGAUUAAUAGGGAUAGUUGGGGGCAUUAGUAUUCAAUUGUCAGAGGUGAAAUUCUUGGAUUUAUUGAAGACUAACUACUGCGAAAGCAUUUGCCAAGGAUGUUUUCAUUAAUCAAGACGAAAGUUAGGGGAUCGAAGACGAUCAGAUACCGUCGUAGUCUUAACCAUAAACUAUGCCGACUAGGGAUCGGAUGAUGUUAAUUUUUUAAUGACUCAUUCGGC
rnacentral:rRNA from 1 species